rnacentral:tRNA from 1 species
GCGAAAGUGGUGAAAUUGGCAGACACGCUAGAUUUAGGUUCUAGCGCCGCAAGGCGUAGGGGUUCAAGUCCCCUCUUUCGCA